rnacentral:rRNA from 1 species
AACGCUGGCGGUAGGCUUAACACAUGCAAGUCGUGCGAGAAAGUAUCUUCGGAUAUGAGUAGAGCGGCGGACGGGUGAGUAACGCGUAGGAAUCUACCUAGUAGAAGGGGAUAGCCCGAGGAAACUCGGAUUAAUACCGUAUACCUCCUUCGGGAGAAAGAAGGCCUCUCUUUGAAGCUUUCGCUACUAGAUGAGCCUGCGUAAGAUUAGCUUGUUGGUGAGGUAAAGGCUCACCAAGGCUACGAUCUUUAGCGGGUCUGAGAGGACGAUCCGCCACAUUGGGACUGAGACACGGCCCAGACUCCUACGGGAGGCAGCAGUGGGGAAUAUUGGACAAUGGGCGAAAGCCUGAUCCAGCCAUACCGCGUGUGUGAAGAAGGCCCUAGGGUUGUAAAGCACUUUAAGUUGGGAAGAAAAGUUAUUGGUUAAUACCCAAUGACCGUGACAUUACCAUCAGAAUAAGGACCGGC